rnacentral:rRNA from 1 species
GACGAACGCUGGCGGCGUGCCUAAUACAUGCAAGUCGAACGCAGUGGGGACAGGUGCGUAACACGUGGGUAACCUCCCAUCAGAGGGGAUAACACUUGGAAAAAGGUGCUUAACCCGAUACGGAUGGAUGAACCCGCGGUGCAUUAGCUAGUUGGUGAGGUAGCGGCUCACCAAGGCCACGAGGCAUAGCCGACCUGAGAGGUGGAUCGGCCACACUGGGACUGAGACACGGCCCAGACUCCUACGGGAGGCAGCAGUAGGGAAUCUUCGGCAAUGGACGAAAGUCUGACCGAGCAACGCCGCGUGAGUGAAGAAGGUUUUCGGAUCGUAAAACUCUGUUGUUAGAGAAGCGGUAUCUAACCAGAAAGCCACGGCUAACUACGUGCCAGCAGCCGCGGUAAUAC